rnacentral:lncRNA from 13 species
CCUUAAGGGUAGCAAUAGCUCUGGCUUUCAGGCAGGUCCAGAGAUGCUGUCCUGGAGCCAGGACCUGGAGGCAGAAACCACAGAUGUCUAUCUGGUGCUCUAUUCUAAUGUGGCUGAGCUGUCAUCAAAGCACCAAAGUCCUUCUCACUUUUCCCUCCCCUUUUUCCAGGCAGAGGAGUCUCUCUCCAUGUCUACCACCACUGUAAGCUCAUGGGAAGUACUGCCAGGGUACCACUGAUGCUCACUCAAGGCCCAAAGGCUCUUCAGUCAGCUUUUGGUAAAUGCUGCCAUGUCUGGGACUCUCUCUUCAGUGACUGGUCUGAUGUGGCAUGUGACCACUUUCUGGAUGAUCAGGAAGAAUCUGAAGUCUGGGAAAUAUUUCUUUCCUUCAUAAAAAUGAAGGACAGCAUUACCUUUUCUUCCCUUCCUGCUUUGUGCAGUGACCUCUGAGGAUGUGAUACCUGGAGCUAUGGCAGCCACACUGCAAUUAGGAGGUGACAAACCUGGAGACAAACGCCAACAUGCAUAUGAUGACGGCAAACACAAAAAAGAGCUUGGGUCCUUGAUGACAUGAUUGUGCUGCUCAACUAACCUUGAAACUACCUGCACUUACAUCGAUAUUAAAGACAUAUUACAUGACCUCAUGCUUUCAGCUGCUGUCAGAUAUUCUGUUCCUUGAGGCCAAAUACAUUCUAACAGAUACAAUCUAGACAGAGAAAGAUGUUUUCCCAGAGUUUCAGCAAAAACAGAUGAUGUGUAGGUUAUGAAGAUUUUAUCCAGGAAUCCAUUGGUAUAGGUAGUAGUUCAGAAAAAAAAUACUCCAAGUUUUGUCUCAGAUAUGGGUAAAUCUGAGCCACCCACAUGGUGUCUGUGCCGAAUAUUCUCCCCUCAGAUGCACUAUUUCCUCUUCUGAUAUAGCUGACUGAUAAUAACUAUAUCAAAAGGCUCCCUUGCCCUCUGGCUGCUGGUUGGACUUGGCCAUUGGCAUGUACCAGCAGGAGACUGGAGGGGGAUGGCGAAUUAGACAUAAACCUCCCAGCUCCUUCGAUGGGUGAUUACUUAGGCUGACUGCAUCCAUUGACUGAAGGUCACAGGCUCCUGUCAGGUGGCCCUCUGGGUCUGGGUUUUUCGGUAUCUGCUCUUUCCCUGAUUGGACAGAUCUAGGAGCUGUUAGCCCCAGGGUUCCACACUUCUCUUCUGGUUUCCCACACCCUGCCCACAUCUUUGCAAAAUGCCAUUUGUUUCCUGUCAGGACCCUGACUGAUACAAUGACAACGAAAUCACUGCAGCUGUUGAAGCUUGGUCCAGUCUGUCUGAGGUGUGGUGAGAUUCUGUGGAGUUAUUCCUCGUUUAAAUAAGGGCUUUCAUCUACUAUUAAAGGGAGACAAGAGACCACACAAAUAAAUGUCAUGCUACAAAAGUAAAACA